CCAGAAUGUGCGGCUCAUAACCUUCCUUCUCUGGAACUUCAACAAAAUCACCAUCGUCGUCAUCAUCUUCCUCAUCGGUCCCUUUCAUCUGUCGAAGCAAAUCAAAAGAAAACCUGUCACUAUCGCUGACCUGUGAAACAUCCUAAUUAUACUCUUCGGAAAUGACAGGAGCACUUAACUUUCUCAGCUUCCCAACAGCCGUCAGAAGAUAGAGGAACACAUAUGUGGACAGAGGUUUAUGGAAAAAUAUGAAAACAACAGGGUAAAUGCGGUGAUGGUCAAGGUGGCACAACAAAGUCUCUUCUUCCGCAGGCGGCUUAGGAAAUUUGGCAUGUCCGUAAGGUCCCUCACCAACUUCUACAGAUGCACAUUGAAAGCAUACAAUCCGAGUGCAUAACAGCCUGGUACAGCAACUGCUCUGCCCAGGUCCAUAAGAAAGUGAGCAAGGUUGUGUGCACAGCCCAGACCAGACCAGACCAUCACGGAAGCCAACUUUUCAUCCAUAGAUUCUAUUUACACAGCUCGCUGCCAUGGAAAAGCUACCAACAUCAUCGAAGAUCCAUUGCAUCCAAGUAAUGAUCUCCUACAAUCUCUUCUGUCAGGCAGAAGAUACAGAAGCUUGAACACACACACCAGCAGGUUCAGGCACAGCUAC